rnacentral:tRNA from 1 species
UGGGGGGUCGUCUAGCUAGCAGGACACCAGGUUUUGGUCCUGGGAACGGGGGUGCAAAUCCCUCCCCCCCAG